rnacentral:lncRNA from 1 species
GCAAUAUGUUUUCAAUUGAAAAGCCAAUGGACUCAAAUAAAGUCAGAAAGUUACUGAUAAUCCAAAACAAAACUCACGGCCCAUACCGAAAAAGGCCCAACAACUAAAAGAGGUCCAACACUACACAACAUUGAACAGGCAGUCCUCUGGGGAAGAGGUAUCAUCAGCAACAUGUCGAAAGUAAAGCCCAACACCAAACCCAAAAGCAGCAACACCGGAGAGCCCCAACACCACAAACCCAGAAGCAGCAACACCAGUGAGCCCUGCGUACGGAAGAAACAAGUGCCAGCCUUGCAUGUUAGAAAAUCAAAAAGACAGCACUAAUCCUACAAUUGAGUAAACAAACAACCAGAGCCAAUACUGCUAAAAGAUGUAAACCAUUUGUUUGCCGCGAGCUGAUCACAUAGAGAAAUUACCUCAUGGUGUUUUUAGUCUCAUCUAGUUAUGGAGCAAUAUUAAAGAAAUCAACCAUGCUCCAGCACCUAAUGAUCAUCGGCCUUGUCUCAGAUCCAUCAACGAGCGAUCACCAUCACGCAGUCCUCCACAAAACAAAAACGACCAUGGCAAAGAAAACAACCAAAGAAAAAGUGAAGAAACUAUAGAAAAAAGAGCCUAGGUCAUUGAAACCACUCCACCCAGAGGUGGAGCCCGAUGGCCGUUUCACUGUAAUCCUUGCAUCCGCUCUCUCGCUCACUUUCUGUCACUUUCUUUCUCUUUGCUACGCAGACGUGAUUUGGAAUGCGUUGAAAC